CCUAAUUUCGACAAAAAAUCUCAAUAUAAUACUUUUUUAAAUCAGGCAACAACAAUAAAAUUUGGAAAAAGUCAAAGGGUGUGAAUACUUUCUGAAGGCAUUGUAUAUAUCCCAAAACUAUCUCAUCUCUACUCUCGUCAUCCUCUUCUCCCUCUGUUAUUCUCUCACCUCUCUCUUCCCUCACCUUGCUCCUCUCCUCGUCUUCCUCUUACCCCUCCACCCUAACCCAUACCUACCCCUUCUAUCUCUCCCCUAACUCUCACACCUCCCUCACUCCAAAAAUUAGGGGUUCAACAACGGUUCUUCUAAAAUCCUCAAACUUCCUUGUAGAACCUUAGUUUUUGGCACUGAAAAAUGCCCCCAAAAGGUUCUUCCAAGAACCCCAGAGGAGGUGGGGUUCAUCAAGGAACUUCUUUAGUUCUUGGGGAUUCUUGCUGGAACCUAACUGCCCAUCUGAAGGACAGCAGGUGCAGGCACUUAACAGAAGCAUUUUAAGAUCUCCUCAAUUUCAGGUAAGGUUCCUCCCUUUACGAUCUAAAUGUAUAUUGUUUUAUGAUGAUACCAUCUAUCUUUUUAUAUUUGUGCAGAUGGUUGUGUUAUUUGAGACUUUCUCCCUUUAAAAAAAAAAAUUCGAAACCAGAAAAUGAACACAAUUCAAUGGAUAUGAAUCAACAAAGAGGUAAGAAUAUGUUGAAGGCUAUAGCUGCAAUGGGCACAGAUAAGUGAACUGCUCACUUAUUUGUGUGUCUGUGUUUGCAGGUAUACUGACGAGGAAGCACACAAAGGACUCAGUCACAGCAGCCAUCUUCCUCCUCCGUUACCUUUUCAGUGAAGAUCCCAGAGGCCUUUACAUCAUGGACAAGACUUCACCCUGCCUACACCUCUGAUGAAUAUAACAGGAAACCUGUUCGAUCACCAUGCACUGCUAAAUCAUUGUGGCUGUGGAUAUGGAGAACAUCAACACAUUAACGUCAUCACACCAGAGGAUAUACCCAUUGGACUUGGGGCUCUGCUGGAA